rnacentral:rRNA from 1 species
UUGCGGUGUGGGGUUUAGGUUAGGGGGCUAGUCGUCGUCUAGGUGGCCGCCGUUCCCGCCGCAUGGUAGCUAGCUAGGAGCCUCGAGCUUCGGCGCGGCGCCGCCUCCGCCCGCAGAGGGAAGGGCAGCGCAAUUAGCGGCAAGCUAGUCCGCCUCAGAGCGUCUCAGACCGCCUGAGCUAGCUCCUCGACCCCUAAUUAAGGAGCCUCAAUCGACGAUUAGGGGGUAGCGAAGUAGCGCCGUGCUUACUCUACUGAGUUGGGCUACUAGUAGUGUACCUCUACCUCGUUCACCCCGUGAGUCCCAGUGAGCGCCGCGUUAACAUAUCCGACUUAAAAGACCACGUGUUGGUAAAAGUUUCCUCCUUCGAACACCAAGUGUUGGUAGAAGCGCAUAGUGACAAGACCGUGUGUUGUUAGACUACGCCUACUAGUCUCCAACAACUAAAACUCUUAGCCUUCCUAUGACUCUUUACAUUCUUUCCUUCCUCUACCGUGGUGCUAGUCUCUACACCUUGGUAAAGUAGUUCUAAUGCCUACUUUUAUUACGUUUAUAUAACGCUAAAACUAUACUUCCGACUGUGCUUCCUGGUACCAUGCAAUAGGAACUAGUCUGUGAAGUUACACACGUUCGCGUUGGGAGUGUUCAAGUUGUUUAUAGGUUUCGUCCCGUGAAACGUUCGUUGAGUUCCCCUUCCGCAGGCCUGAACUCCAUACUAGAACUGCGCGAAUCCCUUCGAAAACGUCUCUACUAGUAUCUUCCACUCAAUCACAAACGAAUAAAAAUCUUCUGCACGAAAUCUUUAAACUACAAGUUUCGGACGGGUGCAAAGUUUGGCGGUAGAUCUUCUUGGACAUGGUCUCUGUGACACACUGACAAGAAGGUUCUCUUCCGAUUCGAGUUCUUGAAGAAGUUACUAAGAACAGUCGCUCAAAAGGAUUGUUGUAUAACAAGCAGAAGAGCCAUUGCUAUACCUAUAUACUGACACUGUUGUUCAAAAUAACUACUUAGAACCUCGGAUGUCUUCUUUUAGUAACCAAAAAAAUAACCACCUCCCCGUGUUUCCCCC